ACGGGAGGCAGCAGUGGGGAAUAUUAGGCAAUGGGGGCGACCCUGACCCAGCAACGCCGCGUGAAGGAAGAAGGCCUUCGGGUUGUAAACUUCUUUUAUGAGGGACGAAGGAAGUGACGGUACCUCAUGAAUAAGCCACGGCUAACUACGUGCCAGCAGCCGCGGUAAUACGUAGGUGGCGAGCGUUGUCCGGAUUUACUGGGUGUAAAGGGCGCGUAGGCGGGAUGGCAAGUCAGAUGUGAAAUCCAUGGGCUCAACCCAUGAACUGCAUUUGAAACUGUUAUUCUUGAGUAUCGGAGAGGCAAGCGGAACUCCUAGUGUAGCGGUGAAAUGCGUAGAUAUUAGGAGGAACACCAGUGGCGAAGGCGGCUUGCUGGACGAAAACUGACGCUGAGGCGCGAAAGCGUGGGGAGCAAACAGGAUUAGAUACCCUGGUA
rnacentral:rRNA from 1 species